UACGUAGGGCAACAGUGUCCGGAAUUAUUGGGCGUAAAGAGCUCGUAGGCGGUUUGUCGCGUCUGCUGUGAAAGCCCGGGGUCAACCCCGGGUCUGCAGUGGGUACGGGCAGACUAGAGUGCGGUAGGGGAGACUGGAAUUCCUGGUGUAGCGGUGAAAUGCGCAGAUAUCAGGAGGAACACCGAUGGCGAAGGCAGGUCUCUGGGCUGUUACUGACGCUGAGGAGCGAAAGCAUGGGGAGCGAACAGGAUUAGAUACCCGUGUAGUCC
rnacentral:rRNA from 1 species